ensembl:lncRNA
GGAUUCCAAAUUAGAUUGUCACCUCAUUCUCAACAGGCGUUCAUGAAUUUCCCGGUGGUAAUAAAGAGUCGAAAAGAAAUAACAAAAUUUCAUAAAGGCUUGCACUAGUUCCAAGCUGUGUGGAGACAUCAUGGAAAGGUGGUUCUCCUCAAAAGCUGCCGAGAUGACUACAGAAAACAAAUGGAGAGGAUCUUGACUCUGCCUCCAGCUGUGGCAGCUUUUCCACCUAGAGAGAGGGAGUGGCUGAAGGAUGAUGGCCGUUCCCUUCCCUGCCUCCUCGAAGAGACAUUCACUGCCCGCUCUGUGCUCCCAGUGUCAGAGAAAGGACAGGCCCUUUCCAUACUAAGGUUUUGGCAAGUACUAUCUGAACUUUUAAGAAGCUGAAAGACCCUGCAGGGAUUCUGCUGCCAAAGUUUUUGAGACCGUUGAUUUUAAAAAUUCAAGAUGGAUUAAUUUCGUAAAUGUGAAAGGCAAAAGUUUCAAAUGGUUAGAGGUCCUGUGGACAAAACAGAGAAAAAGAUUGGCUGCCUUCUGGAAGGGGGUCCAGACAGCAACAAGCAAGAAAAAUAUAGGAUCCUAAGAAAUGCUAUUGAACGUCAAUGUCAAUCCAAGUGAUGACUACAGGAGCAUCCUAGAAAUCCAUGGUCUCGACUCAGCAGGGAAAGCUCUGUUUUGCUUCUAAAAGGAACAAGUGGAGAAGCUAAGAAUAGAGGAGGGCCAGCACCGAGGGAUGUUGUCAAGACCAGCUUUAUUGUGCAGGUUUCUUCCCAUGCUCUCAUGCUCUAUUCUGUAUGGCCUCUGAGGCCAAAACAUGGCCUUAAAAAAUAGUCUCAUGAAAUGUCAAAGUUCUAUUAUUUCCUAAAUCCAUCUGGAAAUUUGAGACUGCUUCUAAGUUCUCAUUGUCCUAAGAGAACUGAUGAAUUGAUGAAUGUCUGGUGGGCUGGGUGGGUGUUCUGAAGCUCCCACUCACCAAGCCUUGGCAGGUUCCUAAAAGAUGAAAGGAAAAUAAGGAGGGAGGGAUAUCCUGUUGGUUGCUCCUGUUCUCAAUGGAGAGCUGACCCUGCUUUUGCCUUUUCAUCAACGAGUCCAGUGAGAGUAGUUUUCGGAGCCUAAAGUGCAAGUGAGCACACUCUUGUGAACUGCUAGCUGAGCCUGUAGGGCUGUCUGCUGCUGUCCUUUGUCCAAGGAGGGUUGCCCUUAAGGACUCAUUACCACACGUCCCCUGAGAGUGUCCAACCUCUGCAAACUCACCCUAUUAUUCCCCUGAGAUGGCAUCGUGGGCUGAAUUUUGCCCCCCAAAAGUCAUAUGUUGAAGUCCUAAACCCUAGUAUCUCUGCAUGUGGCGAUAUUUGGAGACAGAGACUUUAAAGAGGUAAUUAAGUUAAAUUGGGUCACUAAGAUGGGUCCGAAUCCAAUGUGACUGGCGUCCUUACAAGAAGACGAGAUUAGGACUGCGGCAACACAGAGAGACAACCCUGGGAGAGACACAGCAGAAGAUGGCCAUCUGCCAGCCAAGGAGAGAGACCUCAGAAGAAACCAAAGCUAUUAACGCCUUGACCUUGGACUUCUAGCCUCCAGAAUUUGCCGGAGCAACACAAACUCCCUAGGACGUCCCUCUGGCCCGAAGAGGGAGAGCGAAGAAACCAGAAAAUCCUAGAUGAGUGACAGCUGCUUUCCUGAUUUUUAAGAAGUGUUGAUUCCUUUGUGAGACAAGUUGUUGACCUGAGCUCCAAGUGAAACAGCCUACAGAUAUUGACCAAGCUUCUAGGAUCUCAACAGGACACAAGCCCUGUACUGUAGGAAAGCUGCCUGUGCUGUGAAGCCCACAGCUCAAAGUCCAAAAGACCCUCUUUGAA